CUGAGAGGAUGAUCAGCCACACUGGGACUGAGACACGGCCCAGACUCCUACGGGAGGCAGCAGUGGGGAAUUUUCCGCAAUGGGCGAAAGCCUGACGGAGCAACGCCGCGUGGGUGAUGAAGGCCCUUGGGUCGUAAAACCCUUUUGUCGGGGACGAUAAUGACGGUACCCGAUGAAUAAGCAUCGGCUAACUCUGUGCCAGCAGCCGCGGUAAUACAGAGGAUGCAAGCGUUAUCCGGAAUUAUUGGGCGUAAAGCGUACGUAGGCGGCUAUUCAAGUCUGGGGUUAAAGCCCGCAGCUCAACUGCGGAAAGGCCUCGGAAACUGGAUGGCUAGAGUGCGGUAGAGGCAAGGGGAAUUCCCGGUGUAGCGGUGAAAUGUGGAGAUAUCGGGAAGAACACCAGCGGCGAAAGCGCCUUGCUGGACCGCGACUGACGCUGAGGUACGAAAGCCAGGGGAGCAAAUGGGAUUAGAUACCCCAGUAGUCCUGGCCGUAAACGAUGGACACUAGGUGUUGCGCGUAUCGACCCUCACAGUGUCGUAGCUAACGCGUUAAGUAUCCCGCCUGGGGAGUACGCGCGCAAGCGUGAAACUCAAAGGAAUUGACGG
rnacentral:rRNA from 1 species